UGGGGAAUUUUCCGCAAUGGGCGAAAGCCUGACGGAGCAAUACCGCGUGAGGGAGGAAUGCCUUUGGGUUGUAAACCUCUUUUCUCAGGGAAGAAGAUCUGACUGUACCAGAGGAAUAAGUAUCGGCUAACUCCGUGCCAGCAGCCGCGGUAAUACGGAGGAUGCAAGCGUUAUCCGGAAUCAUUGGGCGUAAAGCGUCCGCAGGUGGUUUCCAAAGUCUGCUGUUAAAGACUGGAGCUCAACUCCGGAACGGCGGUGGAAACUUGGAAACUAGAGUUCGGUAGGGGUAGCAGGAAUUCCCAGUGUAGCGGUGAAAUGCGUAGAUAUUGGGAAGAACAUCGGUGGCGAAGGCGUGCUACUGGACCGUAACUGACACUCAGGGACGAAAGCUAGGGGAGCGAAAGGGAUUAGAUACCCCUGUAGUCCUAGCUGUAAACGAUGGAAACUAGGUGUGGCUUGA
rnacentral:rRNA from 1 species